rnacentral:lncRNA from 1 species
GGAAGAUGGAGCCGCCAUGUUGGACAUGCCUACUCCCCAGCAAUUUUGGAGCUCCAAGAACAGAUGCUCAAGAUGACAUCUCUACUCGGAAUGGUGGCUUUGCAAACUGAUGUGAAUGUACUUGGUAGUCAUCUUGAGAUGCUGACGUUACAAAUCUGCCCUUCCAAUCAUCUGAACUCAAUGUGAUACCUUUUGGCCCAGUUCAGCAAACACUGUGAAUGCAUAUGCUUGUAGAGCAAAGAGUCUACCCAGCUUAAGUCAAAAGUAGAUCAAAAGAACAAGAGGUUUGUAUUAAGAGUUGGACCCAGAUUUAUUUUCUGAACAUGAUUAUUCUCAAUUUCUAACCUUGUCUAAUGCUAUUGGAAUCUACAUUUCUACAUGGCAUUCUCUCUGCUUUCAUAGACUAAUUU